GACGAACGCUGGCGGCGUGCUUAACACAUGCAAGUCGAACGAAGUGGCGAACGGGUGAGUAAUGCGUAAUCAACCUGCCCUUCAGAGGGGGACAACAGUUGGAAACGACUGCUAAUACCGCAUACUGAAGGAGGGGAUUGCGUCUGAUUAGCUAGGUGGAGGGGUAACGGCCCACCAAGGCGAUGAUCAGUAGCCUGGCUGGGGGGAUGAACGGCCAAAAUGGGACUGAGGAACGGCCCAAACUCCUACGGGGGGCAGCAGUGGGGAAUCUUCCGCAAUGGAGGAAAGUCUGACGGAGCAACGCCGCGUGGGUGAUGACGGCCUUCGGGUUGUAAAGCUCUGUUAAUCGGGACGCGGUACCGGAAUAGAAAGCCACGGCUAACUACGUGCCAGCCGCCGCGGUAAUUC
rnacentral:rRNA from 1 species